rnacentral:rRNA from 1 species
UUUUUGGAAAUAAUUUAAAGUCUAAUCUGCCCACUGAUAAAUAUAUUAAAGGGCUGCAGUAUUUUGACUGUACAAAGGUAGCAUAAUCAUUAGUCUCUUAAUUGGUGACUUGUAUGAAAGAUUGGAUGAAAUAUAAACUGUCUCUAAUUAAUUUAUAAAAUUUAAUUUUUUAGUAAAAAAGCUAAAAUAAUUUUAAAAGACGAGAAGACCCUAUAGAGUUUUAUAAUUUAUUUAAUUAUUAUUAAUAUGUAAAUUUUAAAAUUAAAAUUAAAUAAAUUAUUUUGUUGGGGUGACAGAAAAAUUAAAUUAACUUUUUUAGAUAAUUAACAUUAAUUUAUGAAUAAUUGAUCCAUUAAUAUUGAUUAAAAGAAAAAAUUACCUUAGGGAUAACAGCGUAAUUUUUUUUUUUAGUUCAAAUAGGAAAAAAAGUUUGCGACCUCGAUGUUGGAUUAAGAUAAAAUUUAAAUG